rnacentral:rRNA from 1 species
UACGAAGGGGCUAGGCGUUGCUCGGAAUCACUGGGCGUAAAGCGCACGUAGGCGGAUUGUUAAGUCAGGGGUGAAAUCCUGGAGCUCAACUCCAGAACUGCCUUUGAUACUGGCGAUCUUGAGUCCGGGAGAGGUGAGUGGAACUGCGAGUGUAGAGGUGAAAUUCGUAGAUAUUCGCAAGAACACCAGUGGCGAAGGCGGCUCACUGGCCCGGUACUGACGCUGAGGUGCGAAAGCGUGGGGAGCAACAGGGAUUAAGAU